rnacentral:rRNA from 1 species
GACGAACGCUGGCGGCGUGCUUAACACAUGCAAGUCGAACGGAAAGGCCCUGCUUUUGUGGGGUGCUCGAGUGGCGAACGGGUGAGUAACACGUGAGUAACCUGCCCUUGACUUUGGGAUAACUUCAGGAAACUGGGGCUAAUACCGGAUAGGAGCUCCUGCUGCAUGGUGGGGGUUGGAAAGUUUCGCCGGUUGGGGAUGGACUCGCGGCUUAUCAGCUUGUUGGUUGGGUAGUGGCUUACCAAGGCUUUGACCGGUAGCCGGCCUGGGAGGGUGACCGGACACACUGCGACGGAGAUACGACACAGACUCGUAUGCGAGGCAACGGAGGAGAGUAUUGUACAGGGGGAGGGAGGCUGAUGUGACAACGCCGCGUGCGGGAAGACGUGCUGCGGGUUGUGAACUGAAUUCGCCUUAGACGAAGCGUGAGUGACGGUACUGGGUAAAUAAGCACCGGCUAACUACGUG